UGAAAACCACCCUCUAAGGACAUCUCUAACCCUUAGACUCAAACUUGUAUCAAAUUUAAAUUUGAACAAAAAUCUUGCAAAACACCUCUCCACUUCUUGACUCAAAUUUAUAUGAAAUUGAGUUUUACCCAUUUUUUAACCCAAAUUAAAGGAGAUUCAAAUAUAUACUCAAAUUUUUUCAAGACCAUUUUGGAGCUUUCAAAUUUACCACUGCCAUUAUUGAAGUUUUACUCAAAUUUAAGCUCAAACCUAAGUUUAUCCAUUGGAAUGUCAUAUCAAAUCAAACUUAGAUUUUUACUCAAACUUCGAUUUUUAAUCAAAUUUGAGUAAAAAUUUAGGAGCCAAAGAUGGCCUAACAAACUUUUUAAAAUCAGUUUAUUUAGCCUCAAAUGAGUUGAAAUAAACUUAAAUUAUUUUACAAUAGGCCUACAUAGACUUAGUUUAUUGGUUUUGUAGUAAUGCUUGGUUAGUUGGCUUAUUGUUUAUUGACUAAUACCAUUCUAAAGCAAGGCAAAUACCUAACCUUAAGAAAUUGGGAGUGUUGAGCAAGAAUUCUAAGGUUGACUCUACUCUAAGACAACUAUAAAUAUACCUUGUUGUAUAUGAUAAAAAUAUAAGUUGAUUCAACAAGGUUGAACUAGUUUGCCCAAAAAGAGAGCCUAAAAGAGAACAAAAUGGGAGAGUUCAAUACUGAAGUGUCAAAGGUUAUGAGGAUAAGCAGGGCUGUGUGCCUUUGUGCCCUCCUGGGAUUGAUUUUUAGUGUCUGUCUGGGCUUAUGUUUGAAUGUCUGGCCAAGGAAUUUGGAAGAAGAUAACACAAACCACUUUAAGGAUAAAUUUGGUCAAUCAUACAACAUUGUGGCAAGGAGGAUUCAUGAUGGCUUCAUCACGUUAACGAUCAAAUUUCUCCAUUUCUCCAUUGCCAAAAGUCUACAGUUCAUAUACUUGUGGCCGCUGAAGCCUGUGCCUUCAACUACAUCAUCCUCCAUGCUAUUUUGGGUUUCGUUGACUCGAUCAGUUUCUUCGAUGUAUUCUUGAUUUUUCAUUUGUUUAAUCUCUUUUGUAAAGUUCAUUCACGCCAAAAUUCUGUCCUCACUAGUUGAACUAACACAAUUGCAUUCACCUCCAUGACUCCAUCAUCAUCGGACAUGAAAACAGCCCAACAUUUCCGCCCAUAAUUACUUUUAUCCAGUCCACUAAAGAAACCUGGACACACAUGGAGAGGGUUGCUUCUAAUGGAGAUAGCAUGAUUUGAGCCUACUUUGAUUCUACGGGUCACAUCAUCUUCAACCUCUCUCUAUUCUUAUUAAUUAAUAGAACCUACAUAACAAAAUUGCUCGCCAUUCGGUAUCUCCAGCCUUUCAACCUGAACUUCUCUAUUAGUUCUAUUUCUAUUGCAAUUUAAAGUAAUAUUCUAUGUGUUCAA